rfam:Erythranthe guttata cultivar DTN x IM62 scaffold_89_contig_30, whole genome shotgun sequence.
GGGGAUGUAGCUCAAUUGGUAGAGCGCUCGCUUUGCAUGCGAGAGGUACGGGGAUCGAAACCCUGCAUCUCCA